rnacentral:rRNA from 1 species
AUGUGGUAUGAGCUCAAAAAUCUAUGCAGUAAAUUAGUUUUAAACGAUCAAGAGGAUAGAUGUAGCUGGCUGCUAACUAAAUCUGGUAGAUUCACUGUUAGAUCUUUGUACCUUGCUUUAAAAACAGAUCAUGCUGCCUGGCCUCAUAGGAAACUGUGGAGGGCGAGGAUACCGCUGAAAGUUAAAGUUUUCCUGUGGUUGAUGUUUAAGAAUAGUGUCCUAACUAGAGAUAAUUUGGCAAAAAGAAACUGGAAAGGAAAGGACAAAAACUGUAGUUUAUGUGAUUACCCAGAAACGGUUGAUCAUCUUUUCUGUACAUGUGUGGUGGCUAAUUUUGUGUGGGGUGUGGUUAGGAAUGUAAUUGGAAUUCAUGACAUUCCAUGCAAGAUAGAAGAGUUUACUGCCUGGGUAGAAAAAUUUCCUAAGAAUAUUAGGCAAACAAUAGCAGUGGGUGUUUCUGCGGUGUUUUGGACUUUGUGGAAUGCCAGAAAUGCUGCUACAUUUCAUCAUGUUACCCGCAUGACCCUAGUAUGUUGUUCUUUCAAAUCUCUUAUUGGAUGUCUUACUAGGCUGGUCUACAGAGAAAAGAAGGGCAACUGA